rnacentral:lncRNA from 1 species
ACAGUCUGAGCUCUGUGGCACCAAGUGACCCAACAACCCAAGGCCACUCUGUGUGGUGCAGACUAGAGACACAUAAGGGGCCUGAGUCCAGGAGGUGGUUAGCAUGAAGAGCGAGUGUGAACGAGCCACAGGCAUCCUUGGCUAUAAGAAGGCUGUCACCAUGGACACUGAGGAGUGGCACCUCCUGCUUGGAGCUUCUCGUGAAGCUGAACAAAUCUAGCCUGGCUUCACGCGUGCUCUAUGAAGUACCAAGAAUGAAAUCAGGCCAGAACAUUUUUAAAGAAGUCGGAUUUUUCAAGGACUAUCUUGGAUUUCCUUUUCUUUGUAUGUUUAAACAACCGUAGAUGUUGAGAAAUCCAAAGGACCUACUCAUAACACCACUCUGCAAAGUUGCCAGCUGCCUACAACUCUGAAGAUUUGUCCUAUGAUCAAGUACAAUCUGGACUUGGUCUUCUGUUCUAGACAUGGUGUUCAGGGAAAUUCCUUCCACAGUGUUCAUUGUAUUGAAGGGAAUAAUACAGCAAUAUGUGAUUGAUUGCUACGGCUGCUCUCACCAAGUUGCCCUGCAUUGCAUCAGCUGCCAGCAUAGGACAGGGCCAAAUAAAAAGCUUAGUAAGGCCAAUUGUAAGAAUAGUGACGUGGGCUUAUUUGAAGAUCAAAACUACAGCAUCCUGUAAAUCUGUAAUUGCUCUUGAAAUUAUCUCCUAAGAUACAAGUUUUCUAAGAGUAUCUUUUAUGAUUUUCUUCUGCCCUUUGAGUCCAACAAAACCUGUGUGUUAGUAAAGAACACAUUCCUUGCUAAUGCUAAGAACUGUUGCCAGGAGAAAGCCAUAGUCAACAUCUCUAGAAGACUUAUUGGAUUACAGAAUAGGGCUCACUGGCACCCGUGUGAAAGUCUUGGCUUUGACAGUGUGGGUGGCGUUAUUUUAACCACAGAACACCCUGCACUGUGAUUCUUAUUGUAAACCAAAGGUCUGUGGCAUCAAACUUCAGUACGGUCUCUAUUUGGGAUGUGAGCCUGCCAAAUGUGCACAUGGCAAAUGUGUUUUAUUCAAACAGCUCUGGGGGGAAAGAGAGCUCACAUUUGGAUAGUGCGCAUCUGUUUUCCCAUCUGGUUCUCAUAACAACUGUGUGCAGUGACUGAGUCAGAGUUUAUCAUUGGCUUGUUUGAAGGUGGAGAAAUGGAGAGUCAGUAAGUGAAAGGAAUUUACCAGAAUUGUAAGGCAAGUAGGAAGCAGCUAAGAUCAAAACUCGCAGCUUUCAGCCCAGACUCUCAUGGUAGUACCAGUGUGGUAAUUUCUUCACAAUGAAAACAGACAUUAUAGUUAAGGGUUCAGUUUGAAAGAUCAAAAUAGACCCCAACCCCCCCCAAGCCACAGUGAAAGCCAACAUUUCACUGCUGGAGCUAGAUUUGUUAAUUUCUCUCACCAGCCAGAGGGGUCUGGGUGGGUUUCCUGUAGCAGGGAUGUGUCCCCUCCUGUGGAGUGGUCCUCAAAUCCAAUCAGAAGGCAGUUAGUGACCUUUCCCCCAACCCCGCCUGCAAAGCACUCAUACCACCAAUUGCACGGUAGGCAUAUCUUGCUGGUAGGUUAAUGCUAUUGCACAAAAGCUUCAAAGCUGAGUAAGACUGUGAAGGUUCUCCUCCAGCAUUCUGCACAGCACCUUCUGGUUCUAUGGACAAUGAUCGCCACGGAGGAUGCUUAACAGCUCAGCUCCACCCUAAUUUCUGUGUCCUUUAAUGAAAAUAUGUUGUUUUGUCAAUGUAGAAUUGGAGGUUUUGUGAAAUUUUCAAUUGUUACACCUAUAUACAGGACCCCCCACAGUAUGCGUCACAAAAGAUACUGAUUCUGUGGUUGGCUCUAUCCAUUUUGGUGCCAUCUCAGGACUUAUACAUUGUAUCUUAGGAGUACAGAAACACUAAAAGAAAAAAUGGAGGUAUUGAGAUGGAUGAGUCCCAACUCAUAUAUUCAUUCUAGCCUGAGGCGUGCACAUCCUUAGACUUCAUAGGGAGACAGCAGGAGAUCCCAAGUCACUGACAUUAAAUGUGAGAAUUUGUGUUUCAGUCAUCCCUCAGUAUACACCAAGCAUACGUCCCAGGAUCCCUGUCUGUUGAGGGCUUUUGGUGCAGUUUCUAGGAAUUUGGCAUUUGUCACUGGGCUUGGACAAGGAAGUAGGCUCAGAUAAGAAUAUUAGAAGCAAUGAUCAUGGGGCUUUUCUUACUAUUUUGCUGAAUUCCUACCUUAUGUGAUCUCUUUGCUGACUACUUUACUUAAUUAUGACCUUGUGUGACCCUUUGCCUUUCUACUUUGCUUAAUUACUAUCUCGUGUGAUCGCCUUGAUUACUA